rnacentral:piRNA from 1 species
UAAGAGCAAUUUACAAUUUACUGGUGA